rnacentral:ncRNA from 1 species
AACUAUAUGAUAUGCCAAAAAUAUUACUUCUUGUAAAAAUAUGGUAGCAGUUUACGUCAUCUUUAAAUUUCCUACCUGAGAAAGGUUACCAUUCGACUUUUCAAAAAUUUUCACUUUCCGAAUCAUUUUGAGACCGAUUCAUUCAGGGUUGCUAAACUAUGAUCUGUAUAUUUGCCGUGUAUGGGAAAUCAUUCAUUUGUAUAAGUUAGUAAGAAGACGUCAUAUCGAGCUCAUGCAAUUUUGCAGUGGUUUUGCACCAGACCACAUACUGCACAAGCAUCAUUUAUGAAUGAACAACUGCGGUACUUUAUCAAUGGGCAUUUCACGGUCUGCAAAAAAUAACCUAAUUUGAACCUUUGAGUAAAUUCAAAGACAACCUUUCUUAAGGAACACGGACCAAGGAGUUUAUCAUGCACGCGAGUCAAUGGGUCCCACGAAACCCAAAGGCACAGUGAAAGUGAAGUCUCGACUUGUUCUCGGGAUGUGGUGAGAUGCCACUGUUUCUCGCACCUCGCCUUGCGCGUUCAGCACCAAGCAGAAGAGCAGUGGUCGCAUCACCGGCCCGUCCCAUGAUGUGGUCGUUGGAAAGGCGUGGAUCGUUCUGCGGUCUGCGCUGGAGCCGGCGCGUCAUCGGGGCGGAGCAGGAGCGUGCACGAUAAGACCCGAAAGAUGGUGAACUAUGCUUGCGUAGGUUGAAGCCAGAGGAAACUCUGGUGGAGGACCGCAGCGAUUCUGACGUGCAAAUCGAUCGUCAAACGUGAGUAUAGGGGCGAAAGACUAAUCGAACCAUCUAGUAGCUGGUUCCCUCCGAAGUUUCCCUCAGGAUAGCUGGCACUCAUUCGCAAGAUCAGUUUUAUCCGGUAAAGCGAAUGAUUAGAGGUACUGGGUUCGAAACGAGCUCAACCUAUUCUCAAACUUUAAAUGGGUGAGAUGCCCGGCUCGCUUUGUAGGAGUCGGGCGCUGAAUGUGCGAGUGCCAAGUGGGCCAUUUUUGGUAAGCAGAACUGGCGCUGUGGGAUGAACCAAACGCCCGGUUAAGGUGCCUAACGCUGACGCUCAUGAGAUACCACAAAAGGUGUUGGUUAAUAUAGACAGCAGGACGGUGGCCAUGGAAGUCGGCAUCCGCUAAGGAGUGUGUAACAACUCACCUGCCGAAUUGACCAGCCCUGAAAAUGGAUGGCGCUGGAGCGUCGGACCUAUACCGGGCCGUCACCGCAAGCUGGAUCGCUGGCUAUUUUUUGGUGGUGCGAGCAGCGCAUGGCCGGUUGCGUGAACGACAAUCGGUCGCUGUCUUGCGAA